AUUGAACGCUGGCGGCAGGCCUAACACAUGCAAGUCGAGCGGCAGCGGGAAAGUAGCUUGCUACUUUUGCCGGCGAGCGGCGGACGGGUGAGUAAUGCCUGGGAAAUUGCCCAGUCGAGGGGGAUAACAGUUGGAAACGACUGCUAAUACCGCAUACGCCCUACGGGGGAAAGCAGGGGACCUUCGGGCCUUGCGCGAUUGGAUAUGCCCAGGUGGGAUUACCUAGUUGGUGAGGUAAUGGCUCACCAAGGCGACGAUCCCUAGCUGGUCUGGGAGGAUGAUCAGCCACACUGGAACUGAGACACGGUCCAGACUCCUACGGGAGGCAGCAGUGGGGAAUAUUGCACAAUGGGGGAAACCCUGAUGCAGCCAUGCCGCGUGUGUGAAGAAGGCCUUCGGGUUGUAAGGCACUUGCAGCGAGGAGGAAAGGUUGAUGCCUAAUACGUAUCAACUGUGACGUUACUCGCAGAAGAAGCACCGGCUAACUCCGUGCCAGCAGCCGCCGUAAGAC
rnacentral:rRNA from 1 species